UCAGUUCUUAAGUGUUUCUUCACCUUCCCGCUGGGGAUGCACUUUGACCCCCCCCCCCCCCGUCCCCACGUCGUGUCUCUGGUUUUAUUUCUGAGAGGUGACGCUGACCAAACUCGCCUUACCACGAGUUAAGCCUCUAAGUCUCUGCACAGCUUGUAUGGGUGCCCGAACUUCCCUGCCGUCCAGAAGCCGCCGUCUUGGCACGGUGCUCCCACGGCAGUUCUGCAUUCGUUCGUUCGUUUAUUCAUCCCCGCCUUAACCCGGAGGAGCUGCUCCAUCCCCGCCAUCAUGCUGAGCAGCGGGGUGACAAACAGAUGCAUCCCGGAGUGACCAGUGGAGCAGGAAUAGAGGACACGUUGUUAACAGAACAUGGGAGCGGAAUUCAUCACCAACCAACGGGGGAGACUUUCAGCUGGGGCUCUUCUCAUCGCUGUAUCGGGAAUCCAUUAGCUGAGAAAAGGAGAAAUGGUGUUGUCAUAUUAGCUUUUCCGCUGUUUCACUUAGCAGGUAUUUGACGGACAGGUCUUGACCCCAUACACAGAUGUUAACGAAGCAAGGAACGAGGGUAGGUAUUUAUUUUUUAAGUUGUUUUGCGAAAAAGUUAAAAACUUCAACCUAGUAUUUUAAGAGAGGAAAUCCUGUCUUCAUUUUCCUGCUUACCCAGCUUAAAUGUCAUGGUCUGUCACUGUAAUUACCCUGCUGCCAACAAGCCUCACCUCCUGCCCCUCAUCUUCUUUUGAUCACACCCAGCGGGCAGGCCCUAACCCUGGAUGACUCCAACAUCUGUCUUUGGCUGGUCUCUGCCUGGGCUGCUGAGUGCUGGUGGUGAAAAUCUCACGACAGGGCAGAUGGAUACUGAUGGAACGCAGGCUGCACCUGCAAACGGGCCCUUGACAUUGGCUAGCAGUCCUGCGAUGACCCGCCAGUAGGUAUCUCUCUGAUUCUGCCCAAAGGUUGUUUUCUUUCUUUCUUUGUUCUUAGGGCCGCACCUGCAGCAUAUUGACAUUCCCAGGCUAGGGGUUAAAUCAGAGCUGCAGCGGCUGGUCUACGCCACAGCCAGAUCUGAGCCACAUCUUUGACCUACACCACAGAUCAUAGCAACAUGAGAUCCUUAACUCAUUGAGUGAGGCCAAGGAUUGAACCCGCAUCCUCAUGGAUACUAGUCAGGUUCUUAACCUGCGGAGCCCCAACAGGAACGCCCAGGUUUUCAACCUGCAGUCUUUUGAGAUAUGAAGUCACGGUUUUCUCUUCUUCCACGCCUGUCUCCUCCUUCACAGCAGGUGAGCUUUUCGAGAGAAAACCAAAGCCAUCUGAAAAGGAGCUGCUGCGACUUUGACCCAGUCUGCGGGUACACAGACAUCCAGACCUGGAUAGACCCCAGAGCAUGGCCGUGAUAUUUUGCAUUUCCCACCAGUGAGAGGCAGCGUUGACUUGCCGAGACUUCAAAGUUGGGCUCAUCCUGAGUCUUGAUUUCGCCAACAGAAGGUGCUGGGAGUGAGGCUGAGUCAGUUCCAGAGCCCGGGCCUCCAGAGAGCUCACAUUUUUACCUUGGCCCUUUGAGAGCUCCCCCAUGCGAUGGGAGGAAGCAUAGGGUUGACUGCUGAGUGGAGAAGCCCAUAUGGAGAGGACUGUGAAGGGCCAGCACCAGGGCUCCAGACACGUAAAUGAGGUCAUUUUAAACUAUCUGAGACCUUCCAGCCCCAGUCUAGCCUCUGCCUGCAGCCCAGAUGAGACCAGCAGAAAGAACCAGCCAGCUGAGCCCACCCGGCGUAAAGAAGGGUGAGAAAUAAUAAAUCGUUGUUUCACACCACCGAGUUUUGGGGUUGACUGUAGGACAGUCAGACCGGAUUCUUGGCCUGUUUUCCUUCCCACCUGUUAACCACAGAGCGCAAGCCUCCUUCCUCUGCUCUGCUUCAGCCUCUCUUGCUAGUUUAGGGUAGAGAACUCUUCAUUGUCCUCAUAUGUCCCUUGUAACUGCUUCCGUCAAAUCAAGGAAAUAUCUCUGGUCUCUUCUAAUAAGGCUUCAUUCAGCCCCGUGUAUUUCCAGGGAGAGCCCGGAUGCUGUAAGGCCCUAGGUUUCAUCUCCCCUUCACAGCUGACAUCCUGAAUGAGACUGGUAACAGCCAACAGCUACAGAAACUUCACCGUACGUUAGGCACAAAUCUAAAUACGUGUCUUGACGUAUGUUAUUAACCCCCUUAGCCAUCACAACAAACGUAUGAGGUAGUUGCUACCGUAAUUCCAGUGUUACAGAUGAGGAAACAGGCACAAGGAAGUAAAGCCAGGUGCCCGGUUGCAGGUGCAGGUACUUCUAGAAGCUGGACCACAUGGCUGUGGGGUCAGUUCUCCCAACAGUUUUGCUAUAAAAUGUAGCUACACUCACUGUUCCAGUUCCUUAGUUGACAUUUACACUUCAAUUCAGUGCAGGCUGGUUUUGAGCCCCCACCUCACCACCAAAAGUACCAUCAAAAAUGACCUGUAUGAGGAUAGAGCAUGCAUUCUCAGUGAGCGCACCCGCCCACCCCAAGACUUUGGCUCUUAAGAG
rnacentral:lncRNA from 9 species